AGUGGUAUAGCUCUUGCCUAGCAUGUACGAAUCUCUGGGUUCAAUCCCCAGUACCACUA
rnacentral:tRNA from 1 species